rnacentral:snoRNA from 1 species
AACUCCAGCCUGGGCGACAGAGCCAGACUCUGUCUAAAAAAAAAAAAAAAAAAAGCUUGAUGGUGCCCAUCUCAUGUCAGCCAGGAGCAAAGCAACCCCUUGUUUAUCCCAGCUUGGCUUCUGGUCUAUGCCCAUGCCUGGUUUAUGCUUUGGACACAUAG